rnacentral:rRNA from 1 species
UACAGAGGGUGCGAGCGUUGUCCGGAAUUAUUGGGCGUAAAGAGCGUGUAGGCGGUUUGGUAGGUCCGCUGUGAAAACUCGAGCUCAACCUCGAGACGCCGGUGGAAACCAUCAGACUAGAGUCCGGAAGAGGAGAGUGGAAUUCCUGGUGUAGCGGUGAAAUGCGCAGAUAUCAGGAAGAACACCCGUGGCUAAGGCGGCUCUCUAGUACGGUACUGACGCUGAGACGCGAAAAGCGUGGGGAGCGAACAGG